rnacentral:rRNA from 1 species
GGACCCGACUGCUAUGGGGGUGGGACUAAGCCAUGCGAGUCAGCACCCCAGGCAAUGUUGGGGUCGGCGGACGGCUCAGUAAAACGUGGCUAACCUACCCUAGGGAUGGGGAUAACCCCGGGAAACUGGGGAUAAUCCCCAAUAGGAGAAGAGUGCUGGAAUGCCUCUUCUCCGAAAAGAUNCCAAGACAUGCUCUUGGCAUCGCCCUAGGAUGGGGCCACGUCCCAUCAGGUAGUUGGUGGGGUAACGGCCCACCAAGCCUAUAACGGGUACGGGCCGUGAGAGCGGGAGCCCGGAGAUGGGCACUGAGACAAGGGCCCAGGCCCUACGGGGNGCAGCAGGCGCGAAACCUACACAAUGUGCGAAAGCACGAUGUGGUCACCCCCAGUGCCACCCGCUGAGGGUGGCUUUUCCUCCGGUGUAAAAAGCCGGAGGCAAUAAGCGGGGGGC